GCCUGGGUGGCUCAGUAAGUUGAGCGUCUGACUUUAGCUCAGGUUGUGAUCUCACAGUUCAUGGGUUGGAGCCCCACACUGGGCU
rnacentral:tRNA from 1 species